CUCAUAGAGCAAAAUGUGGUAUUCAUGCAUAUACCCCCGAUUGUGAUGAUAACCUGGAUUUUUGGACUUUUAGUAAACGCUUCUCUGCCUCUUUCUUGUUACCUGGCGCAGCCGCUGGAAAGGCCUUGGCAACUCUGGAUAAACUUGGCUGCUGGCUUGCUAAACAGACUAAUGCUAGUAGAAGGGGGAGAUGAAGGCCAGAGUUCAGCCAGCCUCAGCAAAACCCCAAGUGUCGCACAACUGAUAAAAGAGGACGUGCUGGAACUCGUCGGCUACAAGCCUUGGGAGGAACAAGAUAACAAGAUUGUCUAGAAGGAACAGAGAGUGCUUGCUCUGUUGAGGAACACAGGCAGUAAAUUGUGUUGAAAAAA